rnacentral:lncRNA from 1 species
UUUUUUUUUUUUUUCUGGAGAGAAGACACAUUGUAUUCACCAAGGAGUCUCAAAAACUAGAACUUUUGCCACUAUUAAUACAGUAACCUUAAUGCAGCAAAAAUUUGUAUACUCUCUGUAUGCAGUGGAGGGUCCAGUUUGGCUUCAGUUAAUACUCUGAUGGCCCCUUCUCCUGGGAUAGCUGCUGAGCCUAUUUUUCUCCAUUCUUAGAGAAUAAUUCUCUGCCUCUCUUUGGAAACUGAGUUUUACCAUCCAAGCCUUGUUUCUUUCCCUGAAUGUAAAAUAGAAUUCAUUUUUUCUCCCUUACUUCUUCCCUUUGAUAUAUUAUGACCACUAUAUUGAGAGAUACUAUCACUAUCUAAAGAUAAAACUCUUUCUUUCAGACAGGAGAAUUGUUUCCAAGGCAACUCAAGUAACUUGUAAGAACAAAGUUGAUGUCUUUUCUCCUUUCUUACUAGGGAUGAACAUUUCUGAGUAUCAUCAUACCUAAAGAAAAUAAAAUGUAAAAUAAUGUCACAUUGCUUAAAGGAAGUUAAGAUGUGAGUUGAGUAGUCAAUAGCACACAAUAUUGGAUGGAAAAGGGGGAGAAGGGAAAGACAAAAAAGUAAACAAGAAUAAAUUUUAAAAAUAGCUUCCAUAAUAGCACAGAUCAGUGUCUGCAACCCCACCUUUAGACUUUCUUCCUUGACUUGUCCCACUCCAAGUUUGAAAUGCAAAUAUUAUCAAAAGAUAUGAUUAACAACUAUUAACCAUAACAGCAGAGCUCUAUAACUUUUGCAUAAAUUGUUAGAGAUUUCUGAGCACUUUGAUACUCAGUAAAAAUCAACAUUCAGCCUUUAAAUUAUGUUCAUUUAACUGUGCUCAUCCAACGCCAAAACAUUCUGGUCGUGUUCUAAGCAGUUACUGUUUACUGAUCCCCAUCACCCUACUUAGUGCUCCAUCUCCAUUUGUAACCACUCUUAAGCCCUUUCCAUCUUAGGAUUUUCAUGUGACUAUCCUAUGUACACAAAUGAAAGUGUUGGCCAUUUAAUACUCCUUGUUUACUCAGCAAUAGUACAACAUGAAGUCAGACGACACCAAGUUAUUAAGGUCCAGGUUAGUACUAGAAGUUUUCAUGGAGGAGAAGGGCAAACUUUGAGUAGAUAGAAUUUUACACGUGAAUCUAAAGCUUUAUUACAGAAGUUCAUUAUAGAACUUACAUAUCUCAUCACAUAUGUUACUUUUUAUUUUUUUGUAUUUUCUCCCCUGCUAUCCAGAUGUCUCAAUUAGAGAUGAGCAGUUUUGGAAGGUCAAGGUCUAUAUCUACUUGUUUUUAUAUUCCUAUCCAUCUUUUAUAGUGCUUGGCACAGUGUUUAAAGGCAAAAGCUUCUGAGUUGGAUCAACUGUUGUUUAAAUUCCAGUCUGCCACAUAGUGGUUUUAUCACUUCAGAAAUUUUUAUGCAACCACUCUAAGGAAACUGCAUGGAAAAUGAGGUUAACAUUUGGUGUUAUUUACCAAUAUUCAUUAGAAUGUCUGCUGUUAUUAUUGCUUCACUUUCCUUAUCUAUACAAUGAGGAUAAAUUUAUCUAACUUAAAUACUUGUAAUAGUGUUAACAAGAUUAUGUAUAAUGUCUGAGCCUGGUAAAUAUUUAAUAAGUAAUGGUUAUUUUAUAUGAAAUUUUAAGUUUUUUCCAACACUUGUUCUUCUAAUUAUAACUGUAUCAUCUAUAAAAGCAGAUGUUAUAGGUAUAGCAGGUUUCAACUUUAGUACUCUUUUUCAAAAACUACCUAAGUUCAUCUCCUGCUGGCACCUUGUUUCAUACUAAGUUGGCUCUAGGACAUGUCUUUCCUUCCUUUAUCUAAAUAGUUUUAUAUAUUUUUUUGCUUAUUCUUUUGGUCUCAUAGAAGGAGUUACUAUGUGUACUCUCAAAUUUGUCCCUUAAACCUUCUUUACAAAUUUCAUGAAUAGUCCUUUGUCCUUUUUUCUUGCCUAUCUGUCUUCGUAAGUCUGUAACAAAGGGUUCUUGGUGCAGAGGCUGAAUUGAAUAAUAUCAUGAGGUGUAAUUCUUUCUCUUACACCUUAUGAGGAAGCAAAUUUAGAUGUAUUUCUUAUUGUAGCCACAGUGACUGUCCUAAUAUUACCUUAGGUAGGACAUGAAAAUCACCCUGAAAUACAAUUGUCUAAGGGAAAACUGUCCAAGAGUUUCUUUCAGAAGCAGAAUAUCCUCUUCCAGAUUUUUUCUUUCUUUUUGGCUACCCCACAGCAUAUGGAUUUCCUGGGCCAGGGAUCAGAUCUGAGCUGCAGUUGCAGUCUAAGCCACAGCUGCAGCAAUGCCAGGUUCUUAACCCACUCUGCAGGGCCUGGAAUCAAACCUUUGUUCCAGUGCUCCUAAGCCUCUCCCAUCCCAUUGUGCCACAGUGGAAACUCCUUAUUCCAAAUUGAAUGACACAUUUAGUAAAAUAAAAAUGCAUUUUCCUGGUAGAAAAAAUGUUUUGAUUAUGACUUUGUGCAAAGGACUGUACUAGGAAUAGAGGAAUAGAGCAGAAAGGAAGGUAUUUUCCUAUUUUAUUUAUUUAUUUAUUUAUUUUUAUAUAAUGAUUUUUAUUUUUUUCCAUUAUAGCUGGUUUACAGUGUUCUGUCAAUUUAGCAGUGCAUUGAAGAAGGUAGAUGUGUUUGUAGGUAUAGCAGGUGUCAAGAUAAAACUGACAAAGUUGUUUCCAAUCUUAGAAGAAGAAACAAUUGAUAUAUACUUGGAAAUCCAGGAAGACCUCCAUGUUGUUGCAAGUGGCAUUAUUUUCUUCUUUUUUAUGGCUGAGUGCUAUUCCACUGUAUAUAUGUAUGACAUAUUUUUUAUAUAUUCAUCUAGUCAAUGGACUUUUAGGUUGUUUCUGUGCCUUAGCUCUUGUGAAUAGUGCUGCAGUGAAUAUCGUGGUGCAUGUAUCUUUUUGAAUCAUAUUUUUAUCCAGAUAUAUGCCCAUGAGUGGGAUUACUGUAUUAUAUGGCAGCACUGUUUUUGUUGUUGUUUUUUUGACAAACCUCCAUACCUUUUACCAUAGUAGCAUUCCCAUCAAUGGUCUUAAAAUAUGUAUUUGGACUCUGUUUCCUGAAAUAUGGAAUAUGCAUUCAUUUUUUUGUUUCUCCCACUAGUACACCUAUAAACUCUUAAUAUAGUAUCUUUUUCUUUGUAGAAAAUAACUGAUAUUAUUUUUACUUAUUUUUUAUUUUUAUUUAUAUUAAUUUAUUUAUAGUUAUUUGUAUUAAUUUAUAUUUAUAUUUUUUAGUAUGCAACUGGCACUCUUCCUACAAAUAUCAGAGGAAAAGUUAUGGGCCCAACCACCCAUAUUUUAUAUAUAAAAUAAGCAUCUACAAAAAGUGAUAUCAAAAAUUGCUAAAUGGUGAAAUACAGUGAUUUCCCCAUAUGAUUAGGAACAAGACCAGGAUAUCUGCUCUUAAAUUUCUUAUUUAACAUACUGUUGAAAAUUCUAGCCAAUGCAAUGAGGCAAGAAAAGAUAUGUCAAAGUAUGGAAAGGGAAAUAUAAAACUGUUCCUAUUUGCAGAUAACUUGAUUGUCUAAGAAAAUCCCAAGAAAUAUAAAAAAAUCAAAAACAAGAAACGAACAAGACUCCUAGAACCAAGCAUAGUUUGGCAAGCCCACAAGGUAAAAGAUAAUACGAACAUUCAAAAGGAAAUUGUCUUUCUACACAUUAGUGGUGAAUACAAAGCACCAAAAUUUAAAAAUAUUAAUACUUUUGGAGUUCUCACUGUGGCACAGUGGAUUAAGAUUCUCGCCGAAGCGGCUUAAGUUGCUGCAGAGGUAUGGAUUCAAUCCCUGGCCUGGCACAGUGGGUUAAAGGAUCUGGCAUUGCCACACCUGUGGCACAGCUCUCAGCUGUGGCACGGAUUCAAUCUCUGGCUCAGGAACUUCUAUAAGACAUGAGCAUGGCCAUAAAAAAAAAUAUAGCAUUCUUUGUAUUUACUUAAUAAAAAUGAAAUACUUAGGUGUAAAUCUAACAGAACAAACAGAGGAUUUGUAUGUUGAAAACUACAAAAUGCCACUGAAAAAUAUUAAAGAAAAUUUAAAUACAUGGGGAGGUAUACCAUGUUUAUGGAUUUAGAGAAUCAACAUGGUGAAGAUAAUUUUCCUCAUAUUGAUAUAAAUGGUUAAUAUAAUUCUUAUUAAAUUCCCUGUGAUUUUUGUAAAUAUAGAAAAUAUUUUGUAAAUAUAGAAAAGAUUGUUCCAAAAUGAGUGUGGAAAGACAAAAAAAAAAACCCUAAAAUGCUAAAACAAUUAUGAAAUGGAAGGAUUAAGUAAGAGGAAAUAGUCUUUCUGAUUUUAAUAUGUAAUAUAGCUAUUGUAAUCAAAACGGUUUGGUAUUUGCAUAGAGAUAGAUUUAGAUCAAUGGAAAAUUAUAGAGAACCCUAAAAUAGACUCAUGGAUAAUGCUCACCUGAUAUAGUCUUGUAAACAAAUACUGCUAAAGCAAUUGGAUAUACAUAAGUAAAAGAAAUCUUGGGAUAAAGCCUACAUCCUACAGAAAAAUUAACUCAAAAUCUAUCACACCAAUUGGAAAAAAUAAAACUAUUAGGAAAUUACUUAAAGGAAAAUAUUGAGGAGUAGGCAAAGAGUUCUUAGAUUUGAUGCCAAAACACAAUCCAUAAAAGGAAAAAAAAUGGUAAGACUUUAUCAAAAUUAGAAAAAAUAAAUAGAAGCCCUCCACUCUUUAAAGGGCUGAAAAGACAAGCUACACAACAGGAGGAAAUAUUUGGAAAAUACAUAUCUGUAAAAAGACUAGCAUCUAAAUACAUAAAUAACUCUCAAAAUCCAAUAGUAAAAUAAUUUAAACAAUCCAGUUAGAAAGUAGGCAAAAUAUAUGAAAAGAUAUUUCACUAAAGAGGAUCUGCAGAUGACAAGCAUAUGGAAAACUUAGCUAUUUGGGAAAUGCAAAUCGAAAGCACAAUGUAAUAAUACACACCUAUCACAGUGGCUUUAUCACAGCUGUUUUUCAAGAGUUAUAAUUGGAGUUGACAAGAAAUAAGCAUGCUUGUUAAAUAAGGUUUGGUUGGGAUCUGAAAUGAUUGCAUAAUUACAAGAGAAGACCUAGAGACCAUAAGGUUGUGUUGAGAACUGCCAGUGAUGUCCUUGUGUUCAAUGCAGUUCAGAAAAUUCAAGUUCUCAGUGAUGCAGGAACAUUUCUGAAACCACAUCCACAGUGGCCACCUUGCUCUAUUUUGAUUAUUAGAUACAUUCUUUUCUUUAAUGUACAAUGUAAGUUUGACAGGCCAUAAGAGAGACUGUCUAGUUAGCAUAAAAUUCAAGCCAAAUCACAAAUGAAAUAAGCUACAAUGACUUCCCCACACCUCAG